GCGGCGUACGGGUGCGGAACACGUGUGCAACCUGCCUUUAUCAGGGGGAUAGCCUUUCGAAAGGAAGAUUAAUACCCCAUAAUAUAUUGAUUGGCAUCAAUUAAUAUUGAAAACUCCGGUGGAUAGAGAUGGGCACGCGCAAGAUUAGAUAGUUGGUGAGGUAACGGCUCACCAAGUCAGUGAUCUUUAGGGGGCCUGAGAGGGUGAUCCCCCACACUGGUACUGAGACACGGACCAGACUCCUACGGGAGGCAGCAGUGAGGAAUAUUGGACAAUGGGUGAGAGCCUGAUCCAGCCAUCCCGCGUGAAGGACGACGGUUCUAUGGAUUGUAAACUUCUUUUAUACUGGGAUAAACCUACCCUCGUGAGGGUAGCUGAAGGUACAGUAUGAAUAAGCACCGGCUAACUCCGUGCCAGCAGCCGCGGUAAUACGGAGGGUGCAAGCGUUAUCCGGAUUUAUUGGGUUUAAAGGGUCCGUAGGCGGAUCUGUAAGUCAGUGGUGAAAUCUCAUAGCUUAACUAUGAAACUGCCAUUGAUACUGCAGGUCUUGAGUAAAGUAGAAGUGGCUGGAAUAAGUAGUGUAGCGGUGAAAUGCAUAGAUAUUACUUAGAACACCAAUUGCGAAGGCAGGUCACUAUGUUUUAACUGACGCUGAUGGACGAAAGCGUGGGGAGCGAACAGGAUUAGAUACCCUGGUAGUCCACGCCGUAAACGAUGCUAACUCGUUUUUGGGUUUUCGGAUUCAGAGACUAAGCGAAAGUGAUAAGUUAGCCACCUGGGGAGUACGUUCGCAAGAAUGAAACUCAAAGGAAUUGACGGGGGCCCGCACAAGCGGUGGAUUAUGUGGUUUAAUUCGAUGAUACGCGAGGAACCUUACCAAGGCUUAAAUGGGAAUUGACAGGUUUAGAAAUAGACUUUUCUUCGGACAAUUUUCAAGGUGCUGCAUGGUUGUCGUCAGCUCGUGCCGUGAGGUGUUAGGUUAAGUCCUGCAACGAGCGCAACCCCUGUCACUAGUUGCCAUCAUUCAGUUGGGGACUCUAGUGAGACUGCCUACGCAAGUAGAGAGGAAGGUGGGGAUGACGUCAAAUCAUCACGGCCCUUACGCCUUGGGCCACACACGUAAUACAAUGGCCAGUACAGAGGGCAGCUACCAGGCGACUGGAUGCGAAUCUCGAAAGCUGGUCUCAGUUCGGAUUGGAGUCUGCAACUCGACU
rnacentral:rRNA from 1 species